rfam:Camelus ferus unplaced genomic scaffold scaffold1616, whole genome shotgun sequence.
GAGGGUACGGCUCAAGUGGUAGAGAGCAUGCUUAGCAUGCAUGAGGUCCUGGGAUCAAUCCCCAGUACUUCCU